GCUGCUCCCCGGUCCACGCAGACAGCCAUUUGCAGAGACCCUCUCUGGAAGGAGAAAGGCUGGCCCAGAGCCCCAAGACCUGAACACCCCAGACCCCUCGCCCACACACAGCAGCCUCUGGAGAGAGCUCCCGCCCAGCCCGGGGCAUCCCUCUUCAGGUGGCCCUCUGGCGUCUUGGCAGAGGCUGCCCGGAGCUGCCUUUCCUGGGAACACCUAAGCCCUGUGGAACCGAUUCUCCCCCCUGCUCCCGGGCUUCCCUGUCUGGGCAGGGCCCUGGGCUGCGGGGGCCGCCUCAGGAGGCCUUGGCAGCUGUGGUCUGGGGCUGUGGUGAGCAGGCUGGGGCCCCACUGGGGCCUGGCUGGGACGUGUGAGCAGCCUCUGGCCUGGCAGGUCCCCUCCUGCCUCAUGUGCUCAAGGCCCUGGGGAAUCAGCUCCUGACAACAUGAGAAGGGACAUCCUGCAGGUCAGUCACCCCAUUUUACAAGUGGGGAAACAGGCGGAGGAGGGGACCUGCUGGAGGCUGAACAGGAAGGAAGCAGCACUGUGAGGCUGAGAAGCCUGGCAACUGCCCAUAGACCAGGCCCCCUCUGCUGGGCCAGGCUACGCCAGCCCCUGGAAGCCCUCUCAGUGCAACUGCUUUUAAUGCACAGAUCACUCAGUGAUUCCCAAACAGUGUCCCAUGGAACCCCACGAGAUAGGACAUGCCUGACCACAGAAGGGCUCAGGGGCCAGCGAGGACAGGAGAUGCCACGUGAGGCAUCAAGCCACGACAUGAAGCCCAACAGUGGCAUUUCAGGCUGGUAAGAGAAGUGGCGUUGGAACCAGAUAUCCUGGGGAGCCACCUCUGGCCAGGGACCUGAGUUCCCUUCCCCACAUGCAGCACCCACACACCCUCAUGCCCCCGGCCUUGCCCACCAGGCAGGCAUGGCUAGACGUGGGUUCAGUCUCCGUUCCACCCUGUCUCAACCUGGGUGAGGCACCUGCUGACCCAGAGCCUGUUUCCCUACUUGUGUCUCGGGGGACUAAGACCCGCCCACCACCUCAGACUGUGUGUGGCUAUGAGCCAGUGAAAAGCCCACAUGUCCUCAUGAGGCCUGUCUCUCAGACCCCGGCCUCCCAGGGGCUGGCUGCACCUUGGCAGGUACCUGGGGCCCUGGGCCGUAGCGGCCUGUGCUUCUAGAAGCUGGGCAGAGCAGCUUGAGGCGAACCCUGGAACGGAACUUGCAGCCACCCUGGCUGGGGACAGCUGGGACCACCCCUACUCCUGAGACACCACCAGCAAAUUGCAAAUUCCAGCGGCGGCUGGAUUUUUCCCCCGAUCUAUGCAAUCAAGUCACAGGAGCUGCACGGCAACGCAUCUGAGACAAUGCGGUGUCACCUUCACAGAGCCGCUCUGGCACAGAGACUCCAGCCUUGCCAGCCUCUCGCCUCCCAAGCACAGAAGCCUCCAGAACGCUGCUUCGAGGACAAGCCCAGGAGACCUGCCAUGCUCAUGCGUGUCUUUGGAAACAGGUUCUCUAAAUUUUGCUUGUGGUUUGUUAAAAAAAAAAAAAAUCAGAAGUGUAAUCAAAGACUUCAACAAAUGAAGCACCAAAACACUUCAGCUUUGAAAUGUAGAAUUGCAAUGAUUGGAAACACGGCUUGCAAAGCAAAAGACAUUAAAAUUCAGUCAUCCCU